rnacentral:rRNA from 1 species
GACGAACGCUGGCGGCGUGCCUAACACAUGCAAGUCGAACGGAGAUUGUACUUGUACAAUCUUAGUGGCGAACGGGUGAGUAACGCGUAGACAACCUACCUUUUAGAUGGGGACAACACCGCGAAAGUGGGGCUAAUACCGAAUGUUGUAUCCGGUUCGCAUGAAACGGAUACUAAAGAUGGCCUCUGCAUAUGCUAUCGCUAAAAGAUGGGUCUGCGUCUGAUUAGCUAGUUGGUGAGGUAAUGGCUCACCAAGGCGACGAUCAGUAGCCGGUCUGAGAGGAUGAACGGCCACACUGGGACUGAGACACGGCCCAGACUCCUACGGGAGGCAGCAGUGGGGAAUCUUCCGCAAUGGACGAAAGUCUGACGGAGCAACGCCGCGUGAGUGAAGAAGGUUUUCGGAUCGUAAAACUCUGUUUUCAGGGACGAAUGUGCAGAUUGUGAAUAAUGAUUUGUAAUGACGGUACCUGAGUAGAAAGCCACGGCUAACUAGGUGCCAGCAGCCGCCGUAA